ensembl:piRNA 21ur-175 ncRNA
UGAGUGAGGAAUAUUCGUAGA